GGUGAACGCUGGCGGUAUGCUUAACACAUGCAAGUCGCACGCCCGCAAGGGGAGUGGCGGACGGGUGAGUAACGCGUAGGAAUGUGUCCAGAGGUGGGGGACAACCCCGGGAAACUGGGGCUAAUACCGCAUAUGUCCUGAGGGACAACGCAGUAAUGCGCCUUUGGAGCAGCCUGCGUCCGAUUAGGUAGUUGGUGGGGUAAUGGCCUACCAAGCCUGCGAUCGGUAGCUGGUCUGAGAGGAUGAUCAGCCACACUGGGACUGAGACACGGCCCAGACUCCUACGGGAGGCAGCAGUGGGGAAUAUUGGACAAUGGGCGCAAGCCUGAUCCAGCAAUACCGCGUGGGUGAAGAAGGUCUUCGGAUCGUAAAGCCCUUUCGACAGGGACGAUGAUGACGGUACCUGUAGAAGAAGCCCCGGCUAACUUCGUGCCAGCAGCCGCAGUAAGAC
rnacentral:rRNA from 1 species